rnacentral:lncRNA from 1 species
UUACAAUCAAACUUGUUCAUCCUGGUAACACAAUAAGGAUGGUUCAUCCUGGUAACACAUUAUUACAGAAAAAUAUGGUUCACAUCAAGUUUACAAUAAAAAAAUGUUCACAUCAGUAACACAACUAUCACAGUAUAACUAGCUCCAAUGCUUCUCCCAACUUGUUCAUCCUGGAUCUCAUGACAAAACAUGAAUGAAGGCCAGCAUCUGCAAGUUAUCAAGAAAAAUGGUUAGAACAAGCAAAAUGCGACAUUUUUACCAUUUAAGCAUAGAAGAACAGGGUCAACAACAUUUUGAUCUUUGAAAAUGAACUAGGAUUUCAAUCUUUGAACAGCAAAAAAUUGAUACAGUAGAUCAUUUGCGGUUUAAAAGAACCCCUAAGGAGACACAUGUUGACACAUUCAUUUGGCAACAUCUGUAGAAUUUGAACCUCAUAAACAUGCAAUGUGGAAUUUGUAUCUCAAAGAAGUAUACAUAUUUAUCAGGUUUAAUUAGCACAUAAACAUGCAAUGUGGAAUUUGUAUCUCAAAGAAGUAUACAUACUUAUUAGGUUUAAUUAGCACACAGAAGCCAAAUGCUAGUAGCUCAUGAUUAGUACACAAGACAGAUUCAACAAAGUAAACAAGAAGGUGGCUACAGUACAAAACUAAGCUCAUCACACAGAAUAAAAUGAUAUUAAAAGUAAGCUCAGCAUAAGCAUAUGAGUUUUUUUGGCACCACCAGAUCAAACAUAGCAACUCCAAUGUGAACAGUUUCAGCAUUAUUGCCAUAUGUUUCCUUGGAAUCAUACUACACAGAGAAGGGUUCAACCUUAAGUCUGAACUAGCCUUAAAUGGUGGAGUACAAAUUUCCUUCUGUACUAGUGGACGUUGAUGGUGUUCCCUUCUUUUACAAAGGAGGACCCCACAUGCAGUGGCUACAUAAACAAGAAGUGUCAGCUUAAGUUGCAACCAGGAAUAGAAACACUUGCAAAAAUUCGGGCACUUGGGGUUUGGCAGGAGUACUACCUUGUGGAUGUCGCCCAUGAUGUUUGUGAGGAACAAGAG